rnacentral:rRNA from 1 species
UACGUAGGUCCCGAGCGUUGUCCGGAUUUAUUGGGCGUAAAGCGAGCGCAGGUGGUUUAUUAAGUCUGGUGUAAAAGGCAGUGGCUCAACCAUUGUAUGCAUUGGAAACUGGUAGACUUGAGUGCAGGAGAGGAGAGUGGAAUUCCAUGUGUAGCGGUGAAAUGCGUAGAUAUAUGGAGGAACACCGGUGGCGAAAGCGGCUCUCUGGCCUGUAACUGAUACUGAGGCUCGAAAGCGUGGGGAGCAAACAGG